UCAUGCCAAAAGGCAGCAAAUAAGUGCCUUUUCUUCCCUUCAGAAUACAUGGACAAGCCAAAGCUCUAUUAGUCUAUUAUUCAGAAUGAAAAGUGUUUACAAUAUUCGUCCUCUUACUCCUCAGUAUGUGAGACUGUUCCUCAUAGCAGGUAAUUUCCAAAUUCAAAAACUCCUCAUGGAAGCAUCUGUUUUUGUCAUCAAGGAGGGGGCUGUAUGUGGAAUUGCAAGGCCAAAGACACCUCGGGUCAACUCUUCUCAGGACCAGAUCCAAGUCGCCAGUGAGAACACACAUUCAGGCAGCCUCCGCCAGCGCCCUGCCUCAGGAGCGAGGCUCCCUGCUUCAUGUGGGCAAGAGUUGCCCCUGUUUUCCCAGCAGGCAGUCGGGGGUCUGGAGCCUAGGAAGCAAAGUGAAGCACACACUCCUGCUUCCUUCCUUCCCUGCAGUUGGUGAGUUUCUGGCUCAGUUUAGGUUAAUAUCAUCUCUUCAGCCUGGCCCAGUUUACCACUAUGG
rnacentral:sRNA from 1 species